CCUACGGGGGGCUGCAGUGGGGAAUAUUGGACAAUGGGCGAAAGCCUGAUCCAGCCAUGCCGCGUGUGUGAAGAAGGCCUUCGGGUUGUAAAGCACUUUCAGUGGGGAAGAAAGCCUUGGGGCUAAUACCCUCGAGGAAGGACAUCACCCACAGAAGAAGCACCGGCUAACUCCGUGCCAGCAGCCGCGGUAAUACGGAGGGUGCGAGCGUUAAUCGGAAUUACUGGGCGUAAAGCGCGCGUAGGCGGUCUGAUAAGCCGGUUGUGAAAGCCCCGGGCUCAACCUGGGAACGGCAUCCGGAACUGUCAGGCUAGAGUGCAGGAGAGGAAGGUAGAAUUCCCGGUGUAGCAGUGAAAUGCGUAGAGAUCGGGAGGAUUACCAGUGGCGAAGGCGGCCUUCUGGACUGACACUGACGCUGAGGUGCGAAAGCGUGGGUAGCAAACAGGAUUAGAUACCCUAGUAGUC
rnacentral:rRNA from 1 species